rnacentral:rRNA from 1 species
UACGUAGGGUGCGAGCGUCGUCCGGAAUCAUUUGGCGUAAAGGGCGCGUAGGCGGCACGGUAAGUCAAAGGUGAAAUCCCUCGGCUCAACUGAGGAACUGCCUUUGAAACUGCCGAGCUUGAGUCCGGGAGGGGGUAGCGGAAUUCCCAGUGUAGCGGUGAAAUGCGUAGAUAUUGGGAGGAACACCAGUGGCGAAGGCGGCUACCUGGACCGGAACUGACGCUGAUGCGCGAAAGCGUGGGGAGCAAACAGG